GGAAUCUUGGUCAAUGGGCGCAAGCCUGAACCAGCGACGCCGCGUGAGUGAUGAAGGCCUUCGGGUUGUAAAGCUCUGUGGGGAGGGACGAAAAAGCGGGUUCUAACAGGACUCGAAUUGACGGUACCUCCUUAGCAAGCACCGGCUAACUCUGUGCCAGCAGCCGCGGUAAGACAGAGGGUGCAAACGUUGCUCGGAAUCACUGGGCGUAAAGGGCGUGUAGGCGGGAGCGCAAGUCGGUCGUGAAAUCCCCAGGCUCAACCUGGGAACUGCACCCGAAACUGCGUUUCUUGAGUGUCGGAGAGGAAAGCGGAAUUCCUGGUGUAGAGGUGAAAUUCGUAGAUAUCAGGAGGAACACCAGUGGCGAAGGCGGCUUUCUGGACGAUAACUGACGCUGAGACGCGAAAGCGUGGGGAGCAAAC
rnacentral:rRNA from 1 species